UACCAGUUAGCCUAGUGGUUAAGGCUAUGGAACGCCAAUCCAGAGACGGCGGGUUCAAUUCCCGUACAGGUCG
rnacentral:tRNA from 1 species